rnacentral:rRNA from 1 species
GAUGAACGCUGGCGGCGUGCCUAAUACAUGCAAGUCGAGCGAACAGACGAGGAGCUUGCUCCUCUGACGUUAGCGGCGGACGGGUGAGUAACACGUGGAUAACCUACCUAUAAGACUGGGAUAACUUCGGGAAACCGGAGCUAAUACCGGAUAAUAUAUUGAACCGCAUGGUUCAAUAGUGAAAGACGGUUUUGCUGUCACUUAUAGAUGGAUCCGCGCCGCAUUAGCUAGUUGGUAAGGUAACGGCUUACCAAGGCAACGAUGCGUAGCCGACCUGAGAGGGUGAGCCACACUGGAGGUGAGGCGAGACGCUGACGACUACUAGAGGAAGCAGUAGUAGGUAUUCCGCAAUAGUCGGAGACCUGAUGGAGGAACACCGCGGGGGUAAUGAUGGUCUUCUGAGCGUAGUACACCUCUGUUAUUAGAGAAGAAAAAAGGAGUAAGCUACUAUCGUCGUGACGAUGGCAAAUCAGAAGACCGCGGCGGACAACGUG